UGUUUAGUAGAAAGACAAUCCUUUUUUCUUCCAGUCAAUUUUUUCUUUGAUCUACAGAACUUGCUUCUUUUCUCUGAAGUUUUCACAAUACAGCAUGAUAGAAGGAGCACAGGGUGCCAGAGGCAGGGAAUUCCUAUGCUUCACUAGUGACUCAUAAGAAAACUUAAUAGAAGGUCUCUACUGCCUGCUGGCCCUGCAGUACCUGAUUGAUGUGGUCCCAAACUAAAGUAGGCUAACCUUCAUUGAACCAAGCACUUCAGAGCCAUGGGAAGAAGUAUGGGGGAAGGAGUCCUUGUACUCUGGCAAUGAGGAAAGCAAACAUUAACAGUGCAAGACACAGUGAGAGUCACAGAUCCAUGGAUGGACGAUCCUUUUGAGGACAAUAGAGGGGGAAUUUGGAUAAGUUUCCUGAGUGAGAAACCUUCCAGAUGGCAAUCUGAAAGUUAGCUGUUCCUUCUCAAAAUUUCUUCAUGGUGGCAAUUUCCAGUCUCCAGUGCAAGGAGGGGAAACUGAAGGAGAAUAAGGCGGUUACAUUCAGUUAGAGCCUGAGAGCAGAAUUUGGUUAGGCUGAAGCAGCUGGAAACUGUGGAAUGUAAUACCAGAGAGGAGACUGCCACACAAAGAACUCUAAAAAUGUUGAUUUUCAGCAAACCUUCAGAAGGCAAAAGGGAAAGUUUUCCCAUGGGCCAACGUGGAUAUGUUUCUGUAAUAGUCUGCUCAGCCUUCUACAACAAGAUGUCGCAGACUGGGUGACUUAAACCAGGGAUCCUCAAACCCUGGCAAUGGAUCGGUACGGGUCAGUGGCCUGUUAGGAAUCAGGCCACGUAGCAGGAGGCCAUAUUUGGAAUAACAACAAUAUAACACUCCUUUGGUAGUUAUAUUUUCUCACCUUCUUUACAGAAGAAGAAAUCCUUACUUAGAAAGGGAAAGAAUACCUCGAAAUUUGUCACUUUGGACUUCAAACAGAGCAGCUGAAGAGCAGCAAAGGCAGGGAAAGGGCUUUCUCUGAUCUACCCUUAACCGACUAAGGCACUGUAUUAGGAUCUGGUGACAUAGUGGGAUAGAAGGACAAAGCCACGCUCUUAUGAAGCUUACAUUCUAGGAUAAUUCUUUGCCAUAAACAUAAACC
rnacentral:lncRNA from 1 species